UACGGAGGGGGCUAGCGUUGUUCGGAAUUACUGGGCGUAAAGCGCACGUAGGCGGCUUUGUAAGUUAGAGGUGAAAGCCCGGGGGCUCAACUCCGGAAUUGCCUUUAAGACUGCAUCGCUAGAAUUGUGGAGAGGUAAGUGGAAUUCCGAGUGUAGAGGUGAAAAUUCGUAGAUAUUCGCAAGAACACCAGUGGCGAAGGCGGCUCACUGGCCCCGGAACUGACGCUGAGACGC
rnacentral:rRNA from 1 species